rnacentral:rRNA from 1 species
CAAUAGCGUAUAUUAAAGUUGUUGCGGUAAAAAAGCUCGUAGUUGGAUUUCUGUUGAGAGCGACCGGUCCAUACCAUGUAUGCGUAUCUGGCUUGCUCUCGGCAUCCUCUCGAUAGACGUUACUGCGCUUGAUUGCGUGGUGCGGAUCUCGGGACUUUUACUUUGAGGAAAUUAGAGUGUUCACGGCAGGCUUUCGCCAGAAUACAUUAGCAUGGAAUAAUACUAUAGGAUCUUGGUUCUAUUUUGUUGGUUUCUAGAAUUGAGAUAAUGAUUAAUAGGGACAAUUGGGGGCAUUCGUAUCAACACGUCAGAGGUGGAAUUCUUGGAUUGUGUUGCGACGAACUACUGCGAAAGCAUUUACCAAGGAUGUUUUCAUUGA